rnacentral:siRNA from 1 species
UAAGGUUGAGGGUUCAAGUCCCUC